GUCAUCCUCGUCAUCUUCAUCAUACAAUAUCUCUUUCUUUCUUUUACGCUCUUUCUCUUUCUCCCUCUCCUUCUCAUACUGCCUCUGCUUUUCUCUCUCUCUUUCUCGAUAUUCCCACUCUUUGAGACAUUCUUCAUACUGUCGCUCGGCCUCCUCAAACUUUCUUCUUUGUUCCCUCUCCUUCCUAGCUCGCUCCCGCUCUGUCUCUCUUUCAUAUCUCUCAAUUUCCCGCUCCUUAUCCCUUUUCAGAUCCCUCUCCCUAUCUCUUUCUCGACUUCUCCUGUCAUACCUUCUACUUCUGUCCGGUGAGCUUGUUUCAGG
rnacentral:misc_RNA from 1 species